rnacentral:rRNA from 1 species
UACGGAGGGUGCAAGCGUUAUCCGGAUUCACUGGGUUUAAAGGGUGCGUAGGUGGGAUGGUAAGUCCGUGGUGAAAUCUCCAAGCUUAACUUGGAAACUGCCGUGGAUACUAUCAUUCUUGAAUCUCGUGGAGGUAAGCGGAAUAUGUCAUGUAGCGGUGAAAUGCUUAGAUAUGACAUAGAACACCGACAGCGAAGGCAGCUUGCUACACGAGUAUUGACACUGAGGCACGAAAGCGUGGGGAUAAAACAGG